AUUGAACGCUGGCGGCAGGCCUAACACAUGCAAGUCGAGCGGAGCGGCGGACGGGAGAGUAAUGCAUAGGAAUCUGCCUGGUCGUGGGGGUUAACGUAAGGAAACGGGCGCUAAUACCGCAUACUAUCAGAUGAGCCUAGGUCGGGGUAGCUAGUUGGGGGGGUAAAGGCCUACCAAGGCGACGAACCGUAACUGGUCUGAGUGGAUGAUCAGUCACACUGGAACUGAGACACGGUCCAGACUCCUACGGUAGGCAUCAGUGGGGAAUAGUGGACAAUGGGCGAAAGCCUGAGCCAGCCAUGCCGCGGGUGUGAAGAAGGUCUUCGGAUUGCAAAGCACUUUAAGUUGGGAGGCGUUACCAACAGAAUAAGCACCGGCUAACUUCGUGCCAGCAGCCGCGGUAAUAC
rnacentral:rRNA from 1 species